GUGGCUAUGGCGGCACAUAUACUAAUAUUGGAAUGAUACAGAGAAGGUUAGCAUGGCCCUUACCAAAAGAAUGAC
ensembl:snRNA U6 U6 spliceosomal RNA